GUAUUUACUUGUGUUUUCCUACAAUUAUCUGAACAGUAAAUGGACAGAAAUAAAAAUAGGACAGACUGACAUCAUCAUGAAGAAUUGGCCCACAUUUGAGAACUGCAUUAAUUGUGUCAUUAAAGCAGUGUGGUUUCAAGUGUAUCAAGUUUGGAAUGGCACAGACGUUAGGGAAAUUCAUUAUCUGAAUUUCUCUGGGCUUCAAACUGGGUAAGUGUAGAUAAUUCACAUUUCACAACAAAAUAAGGUACUUAAAGUAUAAAAUAAAUAUCUAUGAGUGCAAACUGACCUUAAAAAGUUAUUGAAUAAAUGAAUGGGGAGAAUAGACAAAUCUUCUUUGAAGAAGAAUUCCAAAUAACUUAUGUAGAUAGUACCUUCUUGUUUUAGUCAGGGUUCUUCAGAGAAGCAAACCAACAAAAUGUGUGUGUGUGUGUGUGUACAUAUACACACACACAAGCAUAU
rnacentral:lncRNA from 1 species